CAUGUCUAAGUUUAAGCAACUAUACGGUGAAACUGCGAAUGGCUCAUUAAAUCAGUUAUCGUUUAUUUGAUAGUACCUUACUACUUGGAUAACCGUGGUAAUUCUAGAGCUAAUACAUGCUGAAAACCCCGACUUCCGAAGGGGUGUAUUUAUUAGAUAAAAAACCAAUGCCCUCCGGGGCUCCGUGGUGAUUCAUAAUAACUNAACGAAUCGCAUGGCCUUGCGCCGGCGAUGGUUCAUUCAAAUUUCUGCCCUAUCAACUUUCGAUGGUAGGAUAGUGGCCUACCAUGGUGUCAACGGGUAACGGGGAAUUAGGGUUCUAUUCCGGAGAGGGAGCCUGAGAAACGGCUACCACAUCCAAGGAAGGCAGCAGGCGCGCAAAUUACCCAAUCCCAAUUCGGGGAGGUAGUGACAAUAAAUACUGAUAGCGAAUUCUUUCGGAUUUGCAAUUGGAAUGAGUACAAUUUAAAUCCCUUAACGAGGAACAAUUGGAGGGCAAGUCUGGUGCCAGCAGCCGCGGUAAUUCCAGCUCCAAUAGCGUAUAUUAAAGUUGUUGCAGUUAAAAAACUCCUAAUUGAACCUUGGGCCUGGGUGUUCGGUCCGCCUCACCGCGUGCACUGGUUCGGCCGGGCCUUUCCUUCUGGGGAGCCGCAUGCCCUUCACUGGGUGUGUCGGGGAACCAGGACUUUUACUUUGAAAAAAUUAGAAUGUUCAAAGCAGGCCUAUGCUCGAAUACUUUAGCGUGGAAUAAUAGAAUAGGACGUGCGGUUCUAUUUUGUUGGUUUCUAGGAACGCCGUAAUGAUUAAUAGGGAUAGUCGGGGGCAUCAGUAUUCAAUUGUCAGAGGUGAAAUUCUUGGAUUUAUUGAAAACUAACUACUGCGAAAACAUUUGCCAAGGAUGUUUUCAUUAAUCAGUGAACGAAAGUUGGGGAUCGAAAACAAUCAGAUUCCGUCGUAUUCUUAACCAUAAACUAUGCCGACUAGGGAUCGGACGGUGUUACAUAUUGACCCGUUCGGCACCUUACGAAAAAUCAAAGUUUUUGGGUUCUGGGGGGAAUAUGGUCGCAAGGCUUAAACUUAAAAAAAUUGACGGAAAGGCACCACCAGGCGUGAGCGGGUUAAUUUGACCCNCACGGGGAAACUCCCCCGGUCCAGUUGGUGGAGGGAUUUGUCUGGUUAAUUGCGAUAACGAACGGACCUUAACUUGUAAAUAGCCAGGCCAGCUUNGGUUGUUNGCCGGUUUUUAGAGGGAAAUCGGUCAAGCCGNUGGAAGUUUGAGGCAAUAACAGGUCUGUGAUGCCCUUCACGCGCGCUACACUGACAGGGCCAACGAGUAAACCACCUUGGCCGGAAGGUUUGGGUAAUCUUGUUAAACCCUGUCGUGCUGGGGAUAGAGCAUUGCAAUUAUUGCUUUUUAACGAGGAAUGCCUAGUAAGCGCAAGUCAUCAGCUUGCGUUGAUUACGUCCCUGCCCUUUGUACACACCGCCCGUCGCUACUACCGAUUGAAUGGCUUCAGUGAGGCCUUCGGACCGGCUCAGGGAGGUCGGCAACGACCACCCAGAGCCGGAAAUUUGUCAAACUUGGUCAUUUAGAGGAAG
rnacentral:rRNA from 1 species